GGCUUCAUUAUCAGCCUCUUUUUCUUGUUGCGGUGAUGCAGGUCGGACGUGUUGCGGCGUAGGGAGACACAGAACAACGUGCGUGGCGCUUCGUUGACGGAUUUUUAAGAGCCUGGACUGGAUUUAUCGUGAUAAGGUAUUGGAAACACCGUGAACUGAAUCCACUGCUGGAUCACACUAGUUUGGUAUUUUGAAGUUGGUGUUAUUUAUAGCGGUGUUCAGUUGUAAAGCAGUUUGAAACUAGAUUUAUUAGCUGCCUGAAAAUAUGGCAUCCUUAUUUUUAUUUUAUAAAUCUAUGCACAUGUAUACGGGUGUUUUUGUUUCCUUAAAAUCUUGUGACACUGUAUGAACUAAAAUUCACAAUGGUAAAUAAAGUGACAGUUUUAAACUG